ensembl:lncRNA
GUUUCAGUGUAUGAAUUCUGGGUGGAAACAAAUCUUUUGGUCUGUAACACCAUGUCCUUGAGGAAUCGCCACACUGUCUUCCCUUUUAUAACUUCUUCCAGCCAUGUAUUCCAGUCAGUGUCAAAUGGCAUUGUGGCAAUGGGGUUGCUGCUGCCCCACCAAACCUGCAAUCUCUCAGGAAAAGCUUGAAGAUGGGCCAUCACUUCUGCUCUAGCAUUUCAAGAAAAACCUCAUUUCCCUUGCUUGCCUGUUUAUGUCUCACUCCCAUGCCUGAGACAAGCCUUGGAAUCUGAAGCAACAUGAUGGAACAGUUAAUUCUGGACACGUUCAUUUUCUCUGAGCCAGAGACAGGAAGAGUGUCAAGUGUGUGGGAAGAGUGUAAGGGAUAAAUAAAAAAAGUAAAGUUUUGAAACUGUUUAGUCCUUUUGGGCUGUUAUAGUAAAAUACCAUAAACUGAAUAUCUUAUAUAUAACAUAAAUUGAUUUUUAACAGUUCUAGAGGCUAAGAAAUCCAAGAUCAAGGCAUCAGCAUAUCUGAAGUCUGAGGAACACCUACUUUCUCCUAGAUGUUGCCUUCUUGCAGUGUCUUCACAUUGAGGAAGAGAGAAACAAGCUUCUUUGGGCAUUUUUCUUUUUAAAGAAACUAAUCCCAUUCAUGAGGGCAGAGCCUCCCAAAGGCCUAAUGUAUUAAUACCAACACAUUAAGAUUAGGUUUUAACAUGUGAAUUCUGAAAACAUUCAGACCAUAGCAAGAUCUUAGACUAAAAAAAAAGAGGAAAUAAGAUUAAAGUCUAAUUAACUGAGGGCCCCUACACUAAGAUCGAAUAGCUAGCAUGUAGCUAUAACAGAAUUUGAUCCUACAUAACUUUUUUAAGUAUGCACCAUACUCUAUCCCUAAAUCCAAUAUUAAAAGUUUUUUAUAACUAAAUCAAUUAUCUAAUUUCCUAUAUCAUUUAUAAUUUGUAGAUUUUCCUUUUUCCAGAGAACCACCUUAAAACCUGUUUUCAAUGUGUUGUGUUAUGUUAUAUUUUGUAUGUAAUGUUUAUUAUUGACACUCUUGGGUGCUUAUUAACAAUAAUAAAAUAGAAUAUAUUUUCAAUUUAUUCUUGUGCCUGCCAUCUUCAAGAAAUAGAAUCUUCAUAUUUGUUAGCAUACUGUAAAUGAGAAAAUUUAAAGAAGGAGCAAGUGAAUCUGUCAUGCCCAUGCAAUUCUAAAGGAAUAAAAUGUAUCAAAGUAGAAAAAAUCUUGAGGCAUAAAGCUUCCCUAAUCAAACCAAAGAGGUACAUUAUAAAAAGGAAGAAAUAAACUAGCUUUUAUAGUCUGAAAAGUGAUUAGAAGCAUUAUGAGUUAGACUGUAGAAUGAGCACAGACAGGAAAAUUGUCAAAAUGGACACUAGCACAUGUCCUGGAUAGCUGAGCCCCAAAGCACACAUCAACAUUUAAUGGGGCAGCAAUAAGGGUUUAUUUUAUAAGUAUAAAUAGAAAUGAGGAAGAAUACACUGAAAAUUUUAUGAACGCAAGUUCAGACACUUUGGUGAUUUUCGAAGGUAGGACUGGUGGCAUAUAAGAAGCGUAGGGGUCGGGU